GACGAACGCUGGCGGCGUGCUUAACACAUGCAAGUCGAACGGAAAGGCCCAGCUUGCUGGGUACUCGAGUGGCGAACGGGUGAGUAACACGUGGGUGAUCUGCCCUGGACUCUGGGAUAAGCCUGGGAAACUGGGUCUAAUACCGGAUAGGACCACUGAUUGCAUGGUUGGUGGUGGAAAGCUUUUGCGGUUCAGGAUGGGCCCGCGGCCUAUCAGCUUGUUGGUGGGGUAAUGGCCUACCAAGGCGACGACGGGUAGCCGACCUGAGAGGGUGAUCGGCCACACUGGGACUGAGACACGGCCCAG
rnacentral:rRNA from 1 species